rnacentral:rRNA from 1 species
GUUUGGGAAUGCAGCUCAAAGUGGGUGGUAAAUUCCAUCUAAGGCUAAAUAUAAGUGAGAGACCGAUAGCAAACAAGUACCGUGAGGGAAAGAUGAAAAGAACUUUGAAAAUAGAGUUAACAGUACGUGAAAUUGCUGAAAGGGAAACGUUUGAAGUUAGUAUUGUAUUCGUUGGAUCAGCUUCGCAAGGAGUGUAUUCCGAUGAUAAGCAAGUCAACAUCAGUCUAUGAGUGUUGGAGAAGGGUUUUGAGAAUGUAGCAAUUUAAUUGUGUUAUAGCUUGAGACUUGGAUACGACGCUCUUGAUUGAGGAACGCGUAGUAAGCUUUGAGCAGGUUCGAAAGGAUCUCCUUACUAUGGAUGUUGGUGAAAUAACUUUAAGCGACCCGUCUUGAAACACGGACCAAGGAGUCUAACAUGCUUGCGAGUAUUAGGGCGUUGAAACCCGAAUGCGUAAUGAAAGUAAUUUCAGAUGUGAUCCGCAAGGUGCAACAUCGACCGGUCCUGAUUAUUUAUAUGACGGUACUGAGUAAGAGCAAGUAUGUUAGGACCCGAAAGAUGGUGAACUAUGCCUGGAUAGGG